rnacentral:rRNA from 1 species
UACGUAGGGACCAAGCGUUGUUCGGAUUUACUGGGCGUAAAGGGCGCGCAGGCGGCUUAUUUUGUCAGGCGUGAAAGCCCCGGGCUUAACCUGGGAACUGCGUUUGAUACGGAUGGGCUAGAGUUCGGGAGAGGAGAGUGGAAUUCCCAGUGUAGAGGUGAAAUUCGUAGAUAUUGGGAAGAACACCGGUGGCGAAGGCGGCUCUCUGGACCGAUACUGACGCUGAGGCGCGAAAGC